rnacentral:lncRNA from 1 species
GAUAAUUCAAAAAAAACAAAACAAAACUGGUUACUAAGGCAUUGCUUGUAGAUAUGCCCAUCUAAUCUCAUCUUGUAAAUUAAUAGGAUGUUCACUAAGGAGCUUCAUUUUUCUCGGAUCCCUUUCGAUCAAAGUAGAUUGUUGCAAAUCAGAUUGUGAAGAUAAAUGACACUUAGUUUCAGGAGAUGAAAUUAGAUGAUGAUGAACUGAAAUAUCC